GCUUAGUUUGUGUGACUGCUGUAAAUAUGGACAAACAGCUAUAUGUAGGCUUUAGGUGGGCAAGCAUUCAGUUGUAGGCUGCCCAUAAAGGACCAAACAUCU